GGGCCGGUGAUCUAGCUGGCCAUGAUGCCGCCUUCACACGGCGGAAAUCGGGCGUUCGAAUCGCCCCCGGCCCACCA
rnacentral:tRNA from 1 species